rnacentral:rRNA from 1 species
AGAGUUUGAUCCUGGCUCAGGAUGAACGCUAGCGGCAGGCUUAACACAUGCAAGUCGAGGGGCAGCACGGGUAGCAAUACCUGGUGGCGACCGGCGGAAGGGUGCGUAACGCGUGAGCAACAUGCCCUAUACAGGGGAAUAAACCAGGGAAACUUGGUCUAAUGCCCCAUAGCAAUAAGAUAAGGCAUCUUAUUUUAUUUAAAGCUUCGGUGGUAUAGGAUUGGCUCGCGUGACAUUAGCUGGAUGGUGGGGUAACGGCCCACCAUGGCGAUGAUGUCUAGGGGUUCUGAGAGGAAGACCCCCCACACUGGGACUGAGACACGGCCCAGACUCCUACGGGAGGCAGCAGUGAGGAAUAUUGGACAAUGGAUGGAAAUCUGAUCCAGCCAUGCCGCGUGCAGGAAGACGGCCCUAUGGGUUGUAAACUGCUUUUCUACGGGAGCAAUAAGGUCUACGCGUAGACUGAUGAGAGUACCGUAGGAAUAAGCACCGGCUAACUCCGUGCCAGCAGCCGCGGUAAUACGGAGGAUGCGAGCGUUAUCCGGAUUUAUUGGGUUUAAAGGGUGCGUAGGCGGCUUUUUAAGUCAGCGGUGAAAUUUUGCAGCUUAACUGUAACAGUGCCGUUGAUACUGGGGAGCUAGGAUUUGGUUGCUGUGGGUGGAAUGUGUGGUGUAGCGGUGAAAUGCUUAGAGAUCACACAGAUAUCGAUUGCGAAGGCAGCUCACAAAGCCA